UGGGGAAUAUUGCACAAUGGGCGCAAGCCUGAUGCAGCCAUGCCGCGUGUAUGAAGAAGGCCUUCGGGUUGUAAAGUACUUUCAGCGGGGAGGAAGGGAGUAAAGUUAAUACCUUUGCUCAUUGACGUUACCCGCAGAAGAAGCACCGGCUAACUCCGUGCCAGCAGCCGCGGUAAUACGGAGGGUGCAAGCGUUAAUCGGAAUUACUGGGCGUAAGGCGCACGCAGGCGGUUGGUUAAGUCAGAUGUGAAAUCCCCGGGCUCAACCUGGGAACUGCAUCUGAUACUGGCAAGCUUGAGUCUCGUAGAGGGGGGUAGAAUUACAGGUGUAGCGGUGAAAUGCGUAGAGAUCUGGAGGAAUACCGGUGGCGAAGGCGGCCCCCUGGACGAAGACUGACGCUCAGGUGCGAAAGCGUGGGGAGCAAACAGG
rnacentral:rRNA from 1 species